AUACGGAGGGGACUAGCGUUGUUCGGAAUUACUGGGCGUAAAGCGUACGUAGGCGGAUCAGAAAGUAUGGGGUGAAAUCCCAGGGCUCAACCCUGGAACUGCCUCAUAAACUCCUGGUCUUGAGUUCGAGAGAGGUGAGUGGAAUUCCGAGUGUAGAGGUGAAAUGCGUAGAUAUUCGGAGGAACACCAGUGGCGAAGGCGGCUCACUGGCUCGAUACUGACGCUGAGGUACGAAAGUGUGGGGAGCAAACAGGAUUAGAAACCCCGGUAGUCC
rnacentral:rRNA from 1 species